rnacentral:rRNA from 1 species
GGAGCUAAUCCCUUAAAGCUACUCUCAGUUCGGAUUGUAGGCUGAAACUCGCCUACAUGAAGCUGGAGUUACUAGUAAUCGCAGAUCAGAAUGCUGCGGUGAAUGCGUUCCCGGGUCUUGUACACACCGCCCGUCACACCACGGGAGUUGGAGACGCCCGAAGCCGAUUAUCUAACCUUUUGGAAGAAGUCGUCGAAGGUGGAAUCAAUAACUGGGGUGAAGUCGUAACAAGGUAGCCGUAUCGGAAGGUGCGGCUGGAUCACCUCCUUU